GACAAGACGCCAUAUUAGCGAGCUAAAGAUGUCAGAGUAUCUCUCCCAGCUCGGCAACGUCUGUAACACAGUCAACUGUGACUUCCAGGACAUCAUGCUUCUAGGGAAGAGGACAAUAAGUGCGGAACGUCGUGGUGUGUCGUCCUACAGAUUGUGUUGUAACAGGUAGCGUAAACCACACUUGGGACCGUACACCAGAAGAUCUCAAAAUAUGACAUUAAUGAAACUGAUUCUACACCGGUGAUUUACUGCUGAUUAUAUGUAAACUCUGUAUAUCUGGAACCAUAAACAAUCACAUAAUACUCGUAAAUCGCCUGUCUAAAGGCAUAUCAAAUAUCAACUAGCAACCCACCAGUGGCAAAUAAACAGCGAAGAUGGUCUUAACGGUGGUAGGAUUUCCCUACAUGACUAACUUUAUUUUCGCUGCUAUCAAUGAGAACUGUCUGUUGAUAAGUAUAAGUAGGUUCGACCUCACUCUCACCCAAGAAGUUUGUCUAGAAUACGUCACUGGUAUUAAGAUGAUAAUAGGGAGAACAGUCCGUUAUAGCUAACCAUUGUUAUUAUACAGGUUUCUAACGAUAACUUGAAUAUUCUGUGGAGAAUUAAAUAUUGUCAGUGUUUAGUAACCGUACAAUGUAAAACUAAUACAAUACACAUUGUUUCUAAAGAUAGAAACAGAUUUAUUUUAAUUUUUAAAGAAAUUGUUUAUAAAAUGUCUUUAUGAAAAUUGACCGGCUAUCACCGGAUGUACCGGUACAUUUUAUAUGACCCUCUUAAACAGACAAGAAACUUUCUUUUUGUCUUAACUGUAAAUUAUUGAAGUGUUGCCGAUUAAAUUUAUUUUUAAUUUGUAUUAAGCAGCAAUUACAAGGUAUAAAAACAAUCGAACAAAAGGAUAACGUUCAUUGAUUUCCUUUAUUUGUAUUAUUUAUUCCAUAUUCGAUAUGCUCACAAAUAAAUCUCCGAUUAUAGUACGUAGCCCUCCUCAUUUAAGCGGAAUUAGCAUUCACGUACCACCUUAGUACGGGCAUGAACCUAGAAUGGUACUAAAUGCUUAUACAGUUUUAAAUAUCUCAUAUCUGUUUUAAGAUGUUAAAAGCAUAUCAGAUGCAUUAAUAAGGUUUAUUUCCAGUCAUUUCUGUACACAAAUGGAAAUAGAAACCAGAAGAAAAAUAUUUAAUUUUGUUGAAUAAUAUUAAAAUGGUUAC